CUGGGGAGGGGUGUGGGGGCCAGGGGGCUCUGAGAGACAGAGCCCGGCACCCCUCCAUGCCUGCCCCACGCCCUCGCCUCCACUGCUCUCACCUCCCAUGCGUCCUUGUGCAGUGCUCGCUCAGAAGCAUCCCCCAGGGCGCGGGGCUCGGACUUUCCUUCGGGGACCUCCCACCCCACCCUCGACGCCCCCUGCCCAGCCAGGCCCGUGCUGUGCAUUCCCUCUCCAUCGUCUGGUUUGCUCAGUCGCAUCUUCCCCGACAAACGAGGCGUUGGCGCGAGGGGAACCUGUGCCUGGACCGUUUCCCUGGCCCUGCUGGUGGGCGCUGGGGCCUCUGCCCCAGGUUUUGUUUCUUGGGGCUGUGCUGCUUCAGAUGGCCACUAGGGGGCCAUCCUAGGCUGCUGCUGCCCUACUCGGGGCAGGAAUGGUGCCAAUGAGUGAUGGAGGGAGUGCCUCUUCUCUCCUCGGGAGGAAAGAGGACAGUGCCUUCCUUGGCUGGACACAAAGGCCAAAGCUGCAGGAGUGGGGGGGUGUGUGUCUCUGCCCCAGGCAGGGUGUUGGUGACGAAUUAAUUUGGAGUGGCCUCGGAAAUCCGCGGGACUUGGGGUUUUAGGGCUGGGGGCAGUGUGCUGCGCAGGUGGCUGCAGAAUUCGGAGCCCUGUAGACUUUGGCAGGUAAGAGUGUCCAAGGUAAGAAUGAAAGCCCACGGGCACAGGCAUUCUAUAUAUACGUGGCUCAUUAGGUGUUUAUUUUGUUCUACUUAAGAAUUUGUUUUAUUAAAUUAAUAUAAAAAUC